AAGGGCUUAUGACCAGACCUUUGCCUUGCGGAUCAUCCGGUGUUCUCACCGGUGCACUCCGCUUGGUUGAGGCCAGCAUCAGUUUUGGCGGCGGGAUAAAGACUUUAGGAAUGUGACUCCCCCGGGAGUGUUAUAGCCUACUGUGUAAUAC
rnacentral:rRNA from 1 species